rnacentral:sRNA from 1 species
UCGCCAUGCAUGCACGUAGACGAGUUGC